UCCUACAUGGCACUCCCACAAUCCUCCAUUUUGAUUUAUCUAAUUCUCUAUUCUACCUUUUACGCCUCAAUUCUUAAGCUUGGCAAAAACAUCAAAAUUCUCAUACUCAAAUACCGUUACAAAAUUUGAUUAGCAAUUCAUAUGCAAUUCCUUCUUAAAUCUCUCACCAUGUGUCUGCAAAUCUCAUGCUCAAUCACCUGUUGUAGCAAUUGAUCAGCAGCAAAUCCUUCUAAAAUCCCCUUUUUCCGCCAUCUGCAAAUCCUUCUCAAAUCUCUCCCCAUCCAUCUGCAAAACCUUCUCAAAUCCCAUCUCCCACCGUCUGCAAAUCCUUAUCACAGCAAUUGAUCUGCUAAUCUCUAUCCAUCACGUCCCCUACCGCUGAUACAUCUUCCUCUUAGAAAUCAGGAUUUGAUGCUCCACCUCUCUCCGUCGCUGAUACAUCGCGUAUUAGGAUUUUAAAUUUGAAGGUAUUAUGCCAGCUGAUGUUCUGCUUCCUCCGAGUCUAAGGGGAUGAGUUUGUGUUGUUGAAUUACAUGGAAAAAAGAAGGCAUAUCGUUAUAGAGGUUCUGAAACAGGUAUCCAGGAAGUCGAGCAUUGCUCUUUCAAUUGCUACAAUUCUUUCUGGUGGUUGAGUAAGCAAUUUCCAUUUCAUUAUCAAUAAUUUUCGCAUUUAAUGUGAUGCUUGUAGUUAUGUGAACAUGAAAUAGUCAAGAGUAGGUAGUGACGUUUUCAUGAUCAAAUCUUUUAAUCAAUAUUUUAGCUUGCUCUUUGACUAGGAAAGAAAUUAGAAAAUGGUGAAUUGAGGUUAUAGAGUUUCAUCACAAAAGCUGAUUUUUAUUAUAGAUUGGCUUGGUUCGUAGAACGUACAUAUGCACAAUUUUGUAAAUCUAAGAGUGUAUUUAAUUGCUCCUUUUGCCCUGCCUCUGAUGCAUUUGAUUGCAGGUUGUGUCUUGAUGUUACAACGAUUCCCUGUAGAAUCUAGAGGGCAACGCGAGAAACUACAGAGUUGGUUACGAGACCACGAUAUGUUUUUCACGUUUUCUAAUUCGAAGUAUUAUGCUUCUUCACAGAUGAAUUUUGGAGAUAGAUCCGAUCCAUUCCAAUAAACACUUUUUCGGGUGUUCGGCGCUGGCCACACUCCAUCCGCCGCCCGCCAAUCGAUCCACCCCAAUCUCGCUGCUCCUAUCUCUGCAUCAUGCCUCAAUCGCGUAACAUCCCGCCCCUACUCUAACUCUUCUUCGCAGGCCCUUACUUAUGCAUAACGACUCUUUGGAUUUCAUCAAGUUAAAAUUGCCUUGAUUGGCAUCCAUGCUGGAAGCACUGGUCUUAACUUAAUGUCAGCAUAAUUGAAAGUCAAAGUGCGUCUUAAUCUUCAUGGUAUUGUAUCUGUUGAAUCAGCAACGGUAAGCUCUCAGCUCUUUUUGAUGAAUUUUAUUUCUUAUGCUUACUGCUGAGUAGUGGGGUUUCUUUAGCGAAUUACUCUAAGAGCAAACUUAUGGUGAUAAGAUAAUAACUUUAUCUGAGAAUGGCUUGGCUCUUUGCUCGCUCUGCUGCUCUUGAGGUUUGCUAUUUGACUAUAUUUGGAAACGCUCGUGUGCGUGUGUGUUGUUCUUUUUCAUGUGAUGAAUCAUAACUCAAUGCUUAUGAGAUGAGAUUUUCUCGGCUGUGUAUAUAUUAGUUAUAAAUUUAGGUGGGUAUAUCAUAUAUGGGUUAUUCGCCUCUUUGUUAUUGUUGUCGUCGUCGUUGUUAUGGUGGGUCGGCCGUGCUGAUUGACGCGGGUUGAUAUGUGGAACAUCCUCUGUUAAGUUGAUUUUCAAUGUGGUUUUGAGUAGUGAAAAUAUCAUUUAAUAAUAUACAUCUAUCUCAUUUACAACGAACUCACGUUGCAGCUAUAUAACAUAUAUAUAUAACAGGCAGCUAGGAAGGGGCCACCUACAGGUACACUUCGAUGAAGGCCGCCGAGAAUAUGAGGCCGUACUCCCGCUUGCAGACGGCACGGCUCUGAAGAAGGCUGGCGGCGCCAGACAAGCCACGAUGCGAUCCAUCAGAUGCUGCAGUCCAUCCAAGGAUUUGGGUUUGGAUUUGUGGUGCAGAGUAAUGUUGAGGAGGCGAAUGCGUAGGAAAUAGGUAUGCUUAUGGGAGUGUGCUAAUAAUAAAAUUUCGAAUUGCUGCAAAUGUUAGUAUGUUCUAACAAUUGAAUAACUUAGAACAGCAGUAACGUGGAACAUAGUUUUUUUUUUUUUUUACUUGGGAACAUGGAACAUAGUUUCAGAAGCAAAAAGAUGAUCAAAAAUAAGUUCCGACACUCGGAGUAUUUAAUUUAGCAAAAAGAUCCUUAUGGGAGUGUGGAAAGGCUCCAUGUUUGGAGUUACAAAUUUAAGGAUUUUUGGAAGUCGCAUACAAGGGGAAGAAGUAGAAGAUAGUUUCUGACGAUGAUUGUUUUUGUAUAAUGCACACAUAGAUGUGAGCUGCUUAUGUAAUUUAAAGUUUAAAAAACUGUAAUUAGAUUUCAAUAUUUGCAAACCUAAAUAAAAGUAUUGAAAUAAAUAUUUUCUUCAA